GACGAACCGUGCGAACGUUGUUCGGAAUCACUGGGCAUAAAGGGCGCGCAGGCGGCUUGUCAAGUCAGGGGUGAAAUCCGGCAGCUUAACUGUCGAAGUGCCUUUGAUACUGAUGAGCUCGAGGGAGGUAGGGGUAUGCGGAACUUCCGGUGGAGCGGUGAAAUGCGUUGAUAUCGGAAGGAACGCCGGUGGCGAAAGCGGCGUACUGGACCUCUUCUGACGCUGAGGCGCGAAAGCUAGGGGAGCAAACGGG
rnacentral:rRNA from 1 species